AUCCAUGGCCGGCCCUUGCCGCCGGCCGCGCGCCAGCGGACGAUUGCAGCAUCGAAUGCAUCGACAUUGUUGUGCGGAAUACUCACGGCCUGGGCGCGUCCGCGCCGCAUCCCUUCAUGUACGCUUGCGUGGAUCAGUUCGUCAUGGACGACAAGAUCGCCCUGCUGCGGCAGCGUCGAAAAGAUCGUGAAGUUCGCGACAUAACCGCCGCCGAAAUAGAGCGCUGUCUCCGCGCCGAAAUAGAAAG
rnacentral:misc_RNA from 1 species